AGUGAACGCUGGCGGUAGGCCUAACACAUGCAAGUCGAACGGCAGCACAGUAAGAGCUUGCUCUUACGGGUGGCGAGUGGCGGACGGGUGAGGAAUACAUCGGAAUCUACUUUUUCGUGGGGGAUAACGUAGGGAAACUUACGCUAAUACCGCAUACGACCUACGGGUGAAAUCAGGGGAUCUUCGGACCUUGCGCGAUUGAAUGAGCCGAUGUCGGAUUAGCUAGUUGGCGGGGUAAAGUCCCACCAAGGCGACGAUCCGUAGCUAGUCUGAGAGGAUGAUCAGCACAACUGAAACUGAACAACGGCCCAGACUCCUACGGAAGGAAGCAGUGGGGAAUAUUGGACAAUGGGGGAAAGCCUGAGCCAGCAAGACGGCGUGGGUGAAGAAGGCCUGCGGGUGGUAAAGCCCUUUUGUUGGGAAAGAAAAGCAGCAGGUUAAUACCCCGCUGUUCUGACGUUACCAAAAGAAUAAGCACCGGCAAACUUCGU
rnacentral:rRNA from 1 species